rnacentral:tRNA from 1 species
CCUGUGAUCGUCUAGUGGUUAGGACACCAGGUUUUGAUCUGGUGAGCUCCUGGUAACCUGGGUUCGACUCCCAGUCGCAGGU